UACAGAGGGUGCAAGCGUUAAUCGGAAUUACUGGGCGUAAAGCGUGCGUAGACGGUUGUGUAAGUCGGAUGUGAAAGCCCCGGGCUCAACCUGGGAAUGGCAUUCGAGACUGCAUAGCUAGGAUGCGGAAGAGGGAAGUGGAAUUUCCGGUGUAGCGGUGAAAUGCGUAGAUAUCGGGAGGAACACCAGUGGCGAAGGCGGCUUCCUGGCCUGUUCUUGACGCUGAGGCGCGAAAGCUAGGGGAGCAAACGGG
rnacentral:rRNA from 1 species